rnacentral:rRNA from 1 species
GUGGGGAAUUUUGGACAAUGGGGGCAACCCUGAUCCAGCCAUGCCGCGUGCGGGAAGAAGGCCUUCGGGUUGUAAACCGCUUUUGUCAGGGAAGAAAUCCUUUGGGUUAAUACCUCGGAGGGAUGACGGUACCUGAAGAAUAAGCACCGGCUAACUACGUGCCAGCAGCCGCGGUAAUACGUAGGGUGCGAGCGUUAAUCGGAAUUACUGGGCGUAAAGCGUGCGCAGGCGGUGCUGUAAGACAGGCGUGAAAUCCCCGGGCUCAACCUGGGAAUUGCGCUUGUGACUGCAGUGCUGGAGUACGGCAGAGGGGGAUGGAAUUCCGCGUGUAGCAGUGAAAUGCGUAGAUAUGCGGAGGAACACCGAUGGCGAAGGCAGUCCCCUGGGCCUGUACUGACGCUCAUGCACGAAAGCGUGGGGAGCAAACAGGAUUAGAUACCCGGGUAGUCC